CUGGGCAAUGAAAUUGCACAAAAAUAUUCUUCGGAUGGGGCCAAACAGAAGAGAAGUUUGAAAUCAUUGUUAGUGGCCAAAAGCAAUUUUAGACUCCAUGAAAGGUCAAUUUCAAGAGUCAAAAGAAACCAAAAUUAUCAAUAUAAUUAAAAUAUGGCUUGUAAAACAAAA